CCUCGGAAGUGACUAGCUACUGAAUCACUAAUUGAUCUUAUCAAUGUGAUAUAGUAAGGGAAAACAAAUGAUAUUACUUUACUUAUAGUGUUGUCUAAUUCUGGUGCCAGAAGACUCGGUAAUACCAGUAACGCGAACGUUAGUCAUCUUUAUCAGGCGUAAAGGGUUUGUAGGCAGCUUUUAAAAAAAAAUUCUUAACUAUAUUGUCCUUUUUUAUUCUUUUGUUUUUAUUAAAAAAAAAGACAAAAAAGGAAUAAAUAGUGAAGUCUCUAAUUUGAGAGCUAGAAUCAAAUAGAAGUUAAAAAGUAUAAUACUUAGAGAAGGGUUGAUAUUCUUAGAACCUAAGGGGAAUACUAAAGGUGUAAACAACUAACUAUAAAUGAUUGACGCUGAGACACGAAGGUGAGGAUAGGAAAUAGGAUUAGAUACCCCGGUACCCCUCUCUGUAAACGAUGAAUGGUAGUUAUUAGUGUAUUACUGGUAACGAAGCUAACGCGUUAACCAUUCCGCCUUGGGAGUACGAUUGCAAAGUUGAAAACAAAAAAAUUAGUCGGUCUCGGAGCAAACGGAGUGAAGCAUGUUAUUUAAUUCGAUAAUCCGCAA
rnacentral:rRNA from 1 species